AGGUGAGAUCAUACCAGCACUAAUGCACCGGAUCCCAUCAGAACUCCGCAGUUAAGCGUGCUUGGGCGAGAGUAGUACUAGGAUGGGUGACCUCCUCGGAAGUCCUCGUGUUGCAUUGU
rnacentral:rRNA from 2 species